GCCAGGCGUGGUGGCGCAUGCCUGUAGUCCCAGCUACUCGGGAGGCUGAAGCAGAAGAAUCGCUUGAACUCAGGAGACUGAGGUUGCAGUGACCCAAGAUCAUGCCACUGCACUCCAGCCUGGGUGACAGAGCAAGAUUCCGUCUCAA
rfam:Pan troglodytes isolate Yerkes chimp pedigree #C0471 (Clint) chromosome 17, whole genome shotgun sequence.